CAAUCUUCUCUUCUGCCUCCUAUCCUUCAGUAUCAUCUGGAACUGGUUUAAUUUCCAUAUUAGUUUCUGAGGUCUAAUCUUACCAUUUUGGAAAUUCAGCUCUUCCCCCAAAAUAAGAUUUUAGAAAGACAUAAAUUAGCAUCACCAUCAUGAUCUGUAGUAGUAGUAUUAUUUAAAAAGUGUGUGUGUGGGGGGGGGUGGGAAAUAAUACAAAACUCUCAUUGUCCGUUCUGUUAGGGGGAAGACUAACAAAAUCUCCGUAUUUCGAAUGUUUUGUCCUUAGAGAAUGUUUCAGUGCUUCUAAAUACAGAAGAUGAAUGGCAUUCACUCUUAGUGUAGGCUCAGGUAUGCCCCUUUGCUAUGAAGUAGCAUAAAAAGGUGGGAAACAUCCUGAUGAUAAACAAGGACUUUCAAAUCUCUUAUUGUGGAAUACUUGGCACAAGGCAGGCUAUACUUCGUACACUGUAGCAUGAGUGUUUCACUUUUAUUUCAACCUCCCUCUGGCUUUGAGCUGUCCUUAUGGUCUAGUAUCUGUCUUGAUAUUUUUAUUACAUUGUAAGCUACGGUCCAGGUCUAGAAAGCAUUUCUGCAGUGUUCUGUUGGGGGCAGGGUGGGAGGGAGUGUGGUGGAAGAUAGUAUUUCCCUUCUUGAAUUAUCUUCAUUGUUAAUCAUGGGUAUUUUUGAAUGAAGGGAAUUUUUUAUGCACUUGUGUUCAUUCUGUCACUAUAACAUAUUCAUGUUAAGGAAUUUUAUUUUCUCACUAGAAUACCCUGCCAAAAGCUACACCAUGAGAUGCGAAGGAAACUAAUGUUUUUCUGUGCUGCCACUUUUUGUAAUCUGUCAAAAAUUCAGCUUUGCCACAUGGAAGUAGUAGUGCUACUGCUAGUAGUGAUGACAGGAGCAUUUGGUUGAUGCACAAGUCAUAACUGAUGAUUUUCCAGCGUCAAGUCAUUUUUGCUUAAACAGGCCAUCUUGUGGGCAAAACUGUCCUUUACUUUUAUCCAUGCAUCAAUUUAGUUGUAUGAAAACAGCAGGUUAUAUUAUGAUCCCUUUGUUUGGAACUCAUACACCCACAUUCUUAGGAAAGUUAAUCCAUUAACAUGGAUUAAUUUAAAUUGCAUUAAACUACUAUGCAGAUGCUCCUGUUAACAAUACAAGUGGCCUUGUUUUGAUUUAUUGUGUAGCAUUAGUAUCUUUCCAGGAACUGAAUGUUUAACUAAUUAGCUUUAAAGUAACACAUUUAGUUCAAGUCAGUGUAAAUGUAUAUCCUUGGGUAGACUUGGUCUUAUGCUGGUUGGCAGUUAACGAUGGAAGUGAGGAAGAAAGGAUUCAUAGUCCCUGUGUUAGGAGAUUAAGGAGGCAAUGAAAAGAAACUUGCUUUAAUGUAGUUGCUUAGCUAGAAAGUUGUUCCCAUGCAUUGCCCAUUUUUUGUGUUACAUAUUUCCACUUCUGGAAGGAGCUUUUGCUUUUCUUAGAAGUUGAGCUCCCUUCUGUGGCUCUGCAGUCCCAAUCUCUCCCAGUGACUGCAGGUUGUUGUUUUCUAAUUUUGUUACUUUUUCUUCCCCAGUUCCAGUAUGGUUUAUGUUUGGAGCUGGUCACAAAAAUCAGAGGAGGUUUCAAGAAUCCUGGGUUGUGUUACUAAUAGCAGUAGCCUAUCAGUUCUCAAAGACAGAUGUCUCACUGUAGACACGUCUUCCAUGGCUCCCAACGCUCCUAGCUAGUCACCUUUCAACAUUAUAUGUUAUGCAUGUAAGAAGGUAGGAAUUGGGCUCUAUUUGGUAUAUAUUGUGCUUGUUUUCACAUACUUGCUUUUAAACGUGGUUCUGCUAUGGGAAUAGCAUCAAGUCAGCGGAAGGGAAGUUGUCUUCUGAAAGUCUGGAUGUGAGUGGGCAUCCUGAUCUUUUCCAGGAGCAACUUGGAGAUUUCAGUUCCACUCGUUUGUCAAGGGAACACGUUGCUCAUGUGCAAAAGUUUCAUUGUUGACAGUACCUGUGCUCUGGGUCUGAGGGAAUGGAGAAGCUCUGAUCAUGUAGAAUGAGAUGGUUCCUUCAGUCUGUCCCAUGAUACAUAAUCGAAAGGAGUAUUUUAAAUAUGAGGACUAAAUCUGAAUUUGUUCAGGUAUCCCAGUACAGAAUGCAGAGCAGGGACAUGAGCGAUCUAUAGCACUCUUGUGUCGGUGAGCUGACAAAUAGCUAUCCUGCACUGAAUGUAUAGCUUUGAGCCCAGGCUCAGAGAAGUUCAGCAGUAGAUCUCUGAAGACCAUAGAUUUGUGGUGAAACCCAAAUCAAGGUACAAAGCUCAGCCUACAAGAGCACUGGAUUCUGAGACUCGGAAGACCUGAGUUUAUUUUCUGGCUCAGCCACAGGAUUCUUUGUCCUGGCGCAAUGGAUCUUUCUGAUGCCUAAAUUCCACCUGUAUAAUAGGGGUGUUAAUACUCCAUAAUAGCUCUGUUUGUUGAGGUAGAAUCCAUCAAUGAUUCACCAGCAAUGAAGCCACAUAAAUACCUACACCAAGAAAUCUGGGGGACCAGUCACUUUUGUUCGCCUCAGAUCUGUGAUAUCAACCAGGGUAUCGUGACGCCCUGGGCUGCUUUGAGAUGCUUUGAAAGCAAUGUGAGGUGCUUUCAAGAGCGCUGCGCAAUGUUAACCCUGUUAGGUGUGAAAACAUAAUAAACCCAGAGAUUUCAAAUUAUUUGUUGACACUACAGAUUUCUUUCUAGCCUAUUGUGUGAUCUGAGGUUUUUGCAACACAAGAAUUGCUCUAUUUCUGUAGUCAAAAAUAAGAGAGAACUAAAAAGCUGGAAUUUUCCAGGGGGUGUCGAGUCCAAAGAGGUUGAGGACCACCACCCUAGAUGGAUGACCGUCCAUUAAUACAAAUGCAAUUGCAGUUUAGUUGAGGCCAAGUAGGUCUGAUUUCUGUGCAAGCCAAGAAACAAUUUAGCGCAAACAAAGCAGUAUGGUCAAACACCUUAAUAGACUUGCUUAACAUCCUGCUUUGCCCACCCCAAAUGAUUAGAACCUUGAUACUGCAGAAGGACAGAAGCCUUGCUGGUUGAGACCUCAGUUACUUGGCUAAAAUCCAAGAGGAGAAGAUGUUUGCAAACCUUACUAAAAGUGCACAAAUCAGAUUUAAACUGAAGAACUCGUGCUUGCCCAGCAAGAAUUUAGGGCCUCUAAAGGCAGGUGACAAUGUCCAGUAAGACUGCUGCACAAGCCCUUGUUGCAGGUAACUCUGAAGGGUAGACUAGAGCGAGAAUUCUUCUUGCCGUUUUUCUUUAGUUUUGACUGGACUGUGCAAACUGCUGGACAUUUUAAUGGUUUGUCUAGGAAAGUUCAUAUAACCUUAGGUAUCCUUGUGCUACCUAAGAUUUACCUGCUGAUGCUUAUAAAAUCUCUCCUGGGUUCUUAUAUCAAGGAAUAAAACAUUUGUAAAUAUUGCUAAAACUGAAUGCAUACACCAACCCCAUCUCAAAUCACCUUCCUUUUGACAGCAGUAGGCAACAGCUAUGUUGUAACUAGGGUUCCUGGAGUGGCUGAGUUUGUAAUAGAGGUGGGAAUGGGGGUGGGGGGGGAAUACUUUUUAUAAAUGCACAUUCCAGUAUGAAAUGGAUAUUAAAUUAAAUUAAUCCUUGCUUUCUCCCUCAUGAAGUGCAGCCAGUUUUGGGUGUAAUUGUAGCAGUUCUUUUGAUAGUGCAUACUAAUGGAAAUCUUUUAGACAAGUAGUGAAUAACAUGCUGUUUAAAACCUCAGGUGGAAUGUUAGGCAGUGAGAAUAUAUCUACAUACAGUGGAAUUUUGCCAGGCUACAUCUUUCACCCCCUACCCUUCCCCUCCUUUUAGGUGUGAAUAAUUUCAGAAGAUCAUUAAUGACUGCAAGAGGAGAGGACCUCCAUGAGUGACUGGGAGAAGGCCACCUUAUGAAUUACUACCCCAAUGUCUUAUAGCAGGUCACACUCUCAGGGUCACUGGACUCUACCAGUCCUUUCUUUCAUCUGCAGUGAUGACCUACACAUCAGGUGCACCAUGACUCAAGACAAGCACCCAAAGCUCUUUAGUUGCCAAGGCCCUAGGUUUCUGCAUGUCAUGAAUUGCAAGAAAAACUACUCAUUGCUUCCAGCUGCCACACUCUCUUCUCAAGGUCCUGCAGACACCCUGGCUCACGUUUCAGCAACUGUCCUUCUCAUCCGUCCCUGCCAGCCUUCAUCUCCUGAGUUCCAUGACAAGAGAGAAGGGAAGCAGAUUCAUCAGUUAGCAACUGAAUGCUCAGCCUAUUUAGCAAUUCAGGUUCCUGGAUUGCACCAUAGCCCCACAUAUGUACAAGUACUGAAUCAUCUUGUCUUGCUCCUGAAAACUUCCUCUUAAGUCCAUUUGAGUUUGCUAGAAGUAAGCAUGACUUUAACAAACUGAUUCUCUUGCACCUUGUCCUAUCUGUAAAUGGUAGGAAAAAUUGUAAAACAUAAACACUAUAGUGAACAGAGAAUGCUGUUUUGGUGUAUGUUUUGCUCUUCCACUUUCUAUAGAUGUGGAUGCCUAUUUUGGGUACAAAGCUGAAGGAAAUAAUAAAGGUGAGCUAUGUUGUUACAUGA